rnacentral:lncRNA from 1 species
UCCGCGAGCGGGAGGCGGGCAGAGCUCCCCGGCACGAAGCAGCCUCAGCCACGCAGACAGGGCGCAGCGAUGCAAAGAGCUGCUCCUGCAGGAGCUCGCCUCGGGGACCUGCCGAACAGCCUGGCCGCUCGUGGCCAGCAGGCUGUGUUCUUGGGCUGAGCUGCACCCAGCGCCGUUCCCUGCUCCUUUGACGUGUGUGCGCUACACGGCUAUAGAAGGAGCAAUCAGUCAGCUCCCAGGAAUCUUAGCAACAGCCGCGUCCCCAGAAAAGGCCUGCAGCAGCUGGAGCGCUGAUGACUCAGCAGCAUGGGCUCUCUGGCCUCUCGCUGAUCCCUGGCAAGGACGGCAGCCCGAGCCCUGGCUCCCUUGUUUGGGUCACUGCUUUCUCGCUGGCACCGGCAGAUGAAUUCCUGGAUCCUGCUGGCCUUGGCAUUAGAAAGCAACCAAAAAGGAGCCAAAAGCUGCAGCCAAAAAAAGUUUUUGUUCUCUUUUCUUCUUUAACGUCAAUUUAAAGAAAACAAGAAAGGAAAAAAAAAAAAAAAAGAACCAACCCCCGCUAGUCACUUAUAACGGAGGAGGCAAAUGGCAGCCCGCAGCAGCAGCGGGCGCAUGGGGGAAGAUGGCCGCACGCCAGCACGGCCGCGUCCUGCCGCCCUUCCACAGGGACACGGGGGUGGGCUCGGGGCCGGGCCGGGGACUGCAGCGGGCAUCACCGGGAGGUUUGUUUGUGUUGUGUAACCAGGGCUCGGCACGCGCGUUGGGUAACGCCGCCGACAUUUCACCUACUUUCAAGCCACUGCUGCGACGAAUCCGUUUGGCCCCAAGUUGUUUUCGCCUCCAAGGAAAGGAAAACACAGAGAACAAAGGGUGAAGAGGAGGAUCUUUUGCUUCUGGAAGAAUAGGCAGUGGGCAUGCGAGACUGAGAUCCUGGGCUUCAUAAGGACCUGCUAGGAUCCAUAUAAAUGAGGACAACUCUUGGGAGGAUGACAGAUCGCCUUCAAAUCUGGGACUCGUGACAGUGCCUUCAUUCCCUUUGCAUCAGCCUCAGGGGAGAGCCGUGAGCUGGAGCACUCAGUGCGCCCAGCUGACAGUUUGUUCCAGUGCCAGAACAAGCAGCCACGUCGUCCCAGGAGCCCUCCACUACACCCAAAAUGUGCACAGAGCUGCAAGCCAGUGACUUGACCUCAGAGCACCCUCAACCUGAGGACCCAGGCCAAUACCUACCAGUAAUAUAAUUUGAAUCUGGUGCUGCAGAGAUGCAUUGUUGUAUGAUUAAUGAAACCCAUUAAACCAGAAAGC